CCUUAUAAUUACAAUUCACACGUAUCUAUUUCCAUAAAUGUUCAUAUACAUACAUACAUAUCUAUAUGCAAACAUACACACAUAUGUCUAUAUAUACAAACAUCAGUAUCAUCGUUUAACGUCUGUGUGUGCGUGUAUAUAUAUAUAUAUACACACACAUGUUAUAUACAUAUACAUAUAUUUGCACGUGUGUCCUGCCAUUUUUAUAGGACAGCUUCAGCCACAGCCGUAGGGAUGAUGACAAAGAUCUUACUAUAAGUAAGCUUUGCACUGAAGACUCACCAGAAGCACAAAAAUGACUGUGGUGACUAUUGCAGAAGGCUGAUUCGCUCUCUCUUUCUAUCCCUCUCUCUUUCUCUCUCUCUCUCUCUCUCUCUCUCUCUCUCUCUCUCUCUCUCUCUCUCUCUCUCUCUCUCUCUUUCUCUCUCUCUCUCUCUACCUUUUAUAGAACAGAUAAACUUACUACCUGAAGUGAAUAGAAAUGAAAUUAUACAGAACUCAUGAAAGAAUCAGUUAAUUAUGAUUUUAUUCAACAUAUUCCCCUCCUCUCAGAUUCACACACUCAUUGCAGCAGCUCUUUAGUUUUUCUAAGCCCUAUAAAAGAAGUUGGAAGUUUGGGCCUCCAGCCAGGCCUUUCACGAUACCCUUAAAGCCAGAAACUUUUCAGUGCCCUCUUGUAUAUAUCUUGAGAGAGAGGGAGAACAAUAUAUACAUAUGAUAUGACAACCUGAAUCUAAAGAUUAAGAAGAUCGUUCAACAAGGAAGGAUUCAAUGUUAAAAUAUAGAGCAAAGCUUUUUAUUUCUUCACAGAAUGUCCAACCAAAAAGCAAAAUAUUUGUUUCUAUGGGUUUCUCAUCAAACACUACACACACAUUCACAAGGUACAUAUAUGUAUGUAUGUAUGUAUGUAUGCAAGCUUGUAUGUUUGUAUGUAGGCAUAUGCAACAAAGCCUCCCUAAAGUAGAGAGUAUUACCCCCACUAUAAUUAGAACCCCUAUGAGGGACAAUCCCAUUAUAUCUUUUUAUUAUGAAAUCUAAACAAGAAAACCAUCAUAAAUUAAGGAACCAGGGGCCUGUUAACAAGAAUGAAGGACACCUUAUAACAACAAGAAGAAGAACAUAAAAUACAAAAGAUUCACAGCUUAGAAGAACAUCAAGUGUAUUCUUCCAUCAUCUGCUGCCAAACGGAUUUCAUAUUGUAUGAGAGAGAAGAAGAGAAAUGGAAAGGAUUCAAGGAUUCCAGCAGCAUUUCCCUUGCACUGAUUGGCUCAAAGGUGCUGAAGGAUCAAAUCUGAAGAGUUCCCCAAAUUCCCUCAAGUCCACAAUUUCCUUAUUUACCAGUGAAAAUGUCAAAGGGCAGCAGUUGACAUUUACCCGGAUGAUGCUUCUUUUGAAGUCAAAAGAGAAAAGUCUACACCUGCCCUUAACCACUCCUUACAAUCCAUUGCAUAAGUGUCAAGAGGGGAGGAGGAGGAGAAAGUCCAUAACUGGUGCAAUAUAGUAGGGUAUUAGAAGUACCCCACUAUAUUUUACUAUAACAUUUAAUAUACUGUGAAAUGCAGUUUCGGAUUUAACUUAAAUCAACUUAGUUGUGAUUAAUUUCAAAGAAAGUUUUAGAUGUUUGUAUUAGGCAUUUCCCAUUUUUAUCCUUCACUUCCUUAUAUCAGCCAUAUUUUGUGCAGCUUGUCUCCCAAAACAAGUGUUAAGUACAGACAAACAUGUGGUCUUCUUGUGGGGUUUGGGGCGGGGGAAAACAUCUGUGGAUACUUCACACUACUAACAUAAUUGUCCUCACACUAAAGUGUUUUUAUUUCUCAGUGCAAGAAAGCUUUCACUUGAAUACACUGUCUGAAUAUAAUUAUUCAAUUAAUUGUUUAUACAUCGUUCUAUUAUUCUAUUCUGAUGAUGUACAAAAUAUGGAAGCAGAUUGUUAACUAAUAUAGAACAAAUAUUACUUUUAUGAGCAAUAUUUUGAGUCACUUUCUUGUGAUGAUAAUUUGAAAAAGGAACAUGAAAAAUGUUCGCAAUCUUCCCUUCCUUGGAAGAGCAAUGUAUAUGGAGAAAUUUAAUUUUUUUUUUCAAUUUUUAUGGAAUUCAAAUGAUGUCUGUUAUAUUGAACACAUACAAAUGAUGUCUGUUAUAUUGAACACAUGUUCAAUAAAACUAAUACUGCUUGUUACAUUCUAUUGGACACAUACAAACAAAUCAAUCAUUUUGACUAAUUGCUUUAAAAUUUCUUCACAAAUUUCACACAAUUCCAAAUUUAAAAGAAUUAUUUUAAAUUUCAUUCUCUAUCUUCAUAUUUGUUUUAAUUCUUCACUGCCUACAUGUCUAAAUUAAUUCUACCACAUGGUUACCUCACAACCAUGUCCACCUCAAAGUCAAUCCUUUAUUAAGUUGACAACAUGUUCAAUUUAUGAGCGUGUUUACCACAUAUUCCAUUCCUUGACCACAUGGUCAAUCCAUGAAGAUAUUAUUUUAGUUGGAAACCACUUCAUUUAGUGCCACAACUAUUCUAACCACAUCUUUUAAAACACAACCAAGAUACACAGAAGGCUGUUGUGUUGUUUUGGUGGAAUGGUGGUGGUGGUGGUGGGGUGAAAUGUUGCUUUCAUAAAGUCAUGAUGCAUUGCUCCAGUAAUGUGUUGAUGGUGGUGGUGGUGGUGGUGGUGGUGGUGAUGCUAAUGAAUGAUCAGGGUGUAGUGGUAGUGAUGGUGGUGAUGAUGGUUGUAAAAGUCAAUUAUCUGAUGCUGAAAUAAGAGGACAACUAACAAGUUGGGCAGAGAAGGUUUAGUGCAUUGUUGUGUGAUGCACAGACCUGUAGUUUAAAGGACAAUGGGUGGAUUUGAUCAAGUUUCCCACUGUGAUUCAUAAUGAUGAUGAUGAUGAUGACAUUCAUGAUAUAUAAAUUUGUUGACUGUACACUGAUAGAUAAUCACGCUUUCGGAGAUAACAGAGGUCAGUUCUGUUGACCCAAAAUUUAUAUAAGGGCCAAUUCUGUUGACAAUAUACCUAUAUAAAGGCCUGUUAUGUUGACUAUAGAGAGAGGGACCUAUUAUUCUGACUAUAAACAGAAGCCAUCAUGUAAACCAGACAGGUAAAUGGGCUCAGUUCAGAAUGUUGGUAAACUUUUCUCUUCUUUUUCCCAAACAUAAUCUGUUAGUCCUGAGGUACUCAAAAACUUUCACAGGUACUCUAUGAGAACCACCCAUAUGUACUUUACACACUGCACUAUAGAGCUUUGUUACACUCUGGUACUAUACACACUUUGAUCUAUACUACACAUUCGACUGUAUCUCCUGGGACUGUGAAAAUCCUGACAGUCGGUACUUGUGUACCAUUUCCAGUUCGGCAUCACACCUUCUUCCAUCAACCUCGGUGCUCUUUGGAACAUCAAUCGAUUCUUCAGUUCCACACAGGCUUUCCUUCAUAUUUCUACGAGGCAUGUGGACAAAUCUUAUAUUCUUUCGGUUGCAAUGUUGGCACCAUGUAUUCUUCUUGCCCACAGAUGCUUACCAUAACCAGGUACCAUACCUACAGUGUACCACAACCUAUGUGACAAUUUCAUACUAUGCACAUCUUUAUAGCACUUCAAGCUUUCCAUAGCUUAAAGUGAAUUAUUGUGUUAUUCAGUAAAUUAUGUCACAGCUACUCUUCCAUUGUUUUACUAUUCUUCAAGUUCUGUUCUUCUGCCUCUUCACAAUCGCAGACCAAACCAGACAUUCUUUCUCAUUUCAAUACUUUCCUGGCCAUUACUGUUGUUGUUGUUGUUUUUGCUGUUGCUACUAUUUACAACAACAACAACAAAGUUUGGAUGUGUUUCUGAACCAAUGAGUUCUCACCCUCAUUUCUGCUACAAUGAUGACAAUGGUGAUGAUGAUGACUAACGACCGGACAAUGAUAAUAGUGGAGGUGGCGGCGGCAUGAUGGUGGUGGGGUCGGUGGUUUCAAUGAUCAGACUGUUGCAAUAAUGUUAAAUGUGACAACAGAAAAACCAUAAAAAUAUGAAUAAUUACAAUAACUGAAUUAUCAGUUAUAACAAUGGUGGUGGUGGUGGUGGUGGUGGUUACGAUGACAAUGGUGAUGAUGAUGUUGAUGAUUCAUUAUGUCUCGUACAUUAAACGACAGUAAUAGAACUGGUUGAAACAGGGUUGGUGUGUGUGUGUGUGUGGGCACGCUUCAUCAUGAUCCUUGCACACAAAACUACAAGGUUGCAAAACACUCACCAGUUAUACUAUACUCCUGCUGCUUACAAGGAGGGGUUGUACUUCAUCCUGGUACCUAUUUAAGCCUGAAUGGAACCAAUAACAGAAUAAGAUAUCACUAUGACAAAAUCUUUGGAUCAAUGAUCAAAUUCAUUUCCAGUUAAAGACAAUGGAUCUGAGACUGGUAAAACAGAUGACCACAACUGACCAUUCCUGUAAAAUAAUCUUUGGAAAUGUAUCAGUGACUUCCCUGUGGUCAUCCUAAUUCAUUCAGUCAAUGUCUCUUAUUAGCCAGUGGUCAAAUCAAGAAUUGGAUGUCUUUUAAACAAAAUUGUCCAAGCACUAUUAUCAUUAUGUGAUGGUCAGAGCUGGCAAAAUUCUUAGCAGCAUUUCGUCCACCUUUACGUCCUGAGUUCAAAUUCUGCUGGAGUUGACUUUGCCUUUCAUAAUUUGCCUGUCGAUAAAUUAAGUACCAGGGAAACACUGGGGUGUAUGUAAUCGACUGGUCCCUUCCCCACCAAAUUUCAGGCCUUGUGCCUUUAAUAGAAAGGAUUAUUUAAUGGUCAGACCAUUAGACAAAGAAUCUUCACACCUCUACUUUUUAUUUUAUUUAUUGUAUAACAGACAGAUAUAUCAUCACACUGUCUGUACACACACACACACACACACACACACACACACACACACACACACACACACACACACACACACACACACACACACACACACACACACACACACACACACACACACACACACACACACACACACACAGCUGACAUCUAUACCAUACCUUCUAUAAAUAUGUAAAAAAUACCUUCGUCACACACUACCAUACAUAUAUAACAGACAUCUCUAUCACUCAAACCUUUUGGCCACGUCCACCUUGGUCAUCCAACAUUUCUCUAAAAAUGUUAAUCCAUUCCUUGCUCAGUAUUAUGAUUUACCAACCAAACUUUCAGUCACUUCAACUACAGACUGACCAGACUGACCACUUCAACAACAACAAACAAAACUAUAUACCCAACACUAAGUGACCGGUCACACACAUCACUGACUGACCAAUAUCAAUAUCAAACAUUGACUGACCAGUAUGUUAUCCAUAAUUCACUGGCCAGUAAACAUCAAACGUUCAUUGGCCAAGGAACAUCAAACUGACCGGUAUUUAUUCUGCCAUUCCAGCCAAUUUUCUAUGUCACCUGCAAUAAAAGUUAUAUUCAAUCA